AUUCCUCCACACACGUGGGGGUCCAUGUAGUUCACAUGCACACUAGCAUGUAUUGUGUGUGCUGCAGGACUCAGAGGGCCCCACCCCUUCAUCCACAUCGUAACAUGUCCCGGCCUCCUUAUAUAAAGACUUUACAUCGUGAACACGCUGUACUUUUCAUCCCCAACAGAGCCUGAGCGACCCAAACCCUGCAGACUCCUCCAGAACCAUCUGCAGCUGCAGGUCUCGAGAGCCGCCCGAGCUCUUCCCUCCGCAUCAAACCACCUCACACCACAUCGACCGACAUGAUCAUCAGACUGGGCAGACUGACCCCUGGAUACUUCCGCCUCCUCCAGAGGCAAGUCGCCGGCGAGGUGCAGACGCAGCCACAAGACCGCGCCGUCAACCAGAUAGCCAUGAUGCUGGCCAUCAUGGGCCUGAGUUUGUCCUACUACAGCGCCAGACAGAUGACGGAGAAGGUUCAGGCCCGGCCGGCGCCCUGAAGACACCCUCGAGUACUACUCGAAUGGAUGAGCCAAUGAGAAGUGAAGGAGGUGGAUGGUGGCGAGGCGGGUGGCAGACGCAGAGACACAGCAGUGUCUUCCAGGGCCGCACUUCUUUUUUCUGACCUCACAGUCGCACUCGGACACUGAAUUUCUGGGAUCCCUCACUCACCAUGCGCAAAAGACUUCAGGGCUGCUGCUAAGUGUUUUCUGUACUUUCUGUCGUCAGGACCUUUAGGGGGGUUGUUGGGGAUGGCUCACUUGGGGGGGGGGGGGUCAUGGAUAAGACUGGUUUCAUGGACUGGUUUGGGUGGGUGAUCAAAACCAGCCGACUGGGUCUGACCAUUAGUGGUUAGAAAGGUACAUGCUUGCAAAACGCCGUCAAUACUGUUCUGAGCUACAAAAAGGGGAAAACUUGUAUAACUGUGAAUUUUGCUCGUCCAAAUAGGGUUAAAUAAAUGAACAGUAAUGCCUCUUUAAGGGAAAGGCUGACUGCAUUUGAGAUGUACCUUGUAAUGAAGUGAUGGCAGGCCCAGGAUAUUGUUAAAGGGGAUGAAAAGUAGCUCAAAAGUUUUCUGUAUUUUUAUUUCCCUUCAUGAGAGAACCUUGCAGAGCCUAGUGGACAGAUCAGGAGCUGUAUUCACAAACUGUCAAUAUAUAUAUAUAUAUAUAUAUAUAUAUACUUGUGAGAUGUAUCGGUCAGGUGUCAGAGAUUCAGUGAAUAUUUGCGCUAAAGUGCUGAAUUUUUUUUUUUAGAUCUGCAAAAAGGGACUUCAAACUACUCACUACUUUUUACGGUGUUCUUUCUUUCACUGUGAAUUCAACACAUAAACAAAUGAAGUUAAUAAGUUGUGUGACAACCUUUAAUAAGCACCCUGGUUAAGAACCCUACAUGUUAAUGCAAACAUUUAACUUCACUGAACAUUGCAUGGGUGUGCAGACUUUUAAUCGAAGCAAAAACAACGAGUCUGUCUUGUUUUUAUUGAUGAAUGUAUUACUUUAUUUUGAAAAGAUCUAAUAAAGCUGUGAAUCUUUUGAACGAGAUGUUUAGUGAUGUAUGAACAGUCGCUGAGUUGGAGUUUGAACAGUUGAACACCGGGGGUCUGCAGAGCUACAGUAUUUCCUGUAUCAGAGAAUCUGUGGCAUCAUCUGCACGCAACAGGAAGUGGUCAGGAUGAUGAAGUAUGUGUGGGUUUUUUAUGACCCUGCUAGUGUUGCCCUCUGCUCACGCAAGCCCAAAAAUAUAGUGAAUUUGCAAAAAUAGGGUUGUGUAAGGAUGGCUUUGAGUGUCAAGAGUCACGCAAUGAAGGCAUGAAGGGGAAUGAAGAUGAAGGUGUACGGAGAACAUGCUCAUCCAGUCUUUUAGUUCCAAGUAGACCACAUAAUAGACCUUUUUGUUUUUAGCAAGUAAUGAGUUCUAUAACUCAAGCAAAUAGGGUGUUGGAAGAGAUAAUUUUGGUUGGUUAGCUUGUGAAGAUGCCUUAAUGUGUCACGUCUCUGGAUGGCAAAGAACAUGUAGUUCUGGUGAGAUCGGUCCUCCACAAUAAGAGUUGAUUAUUAACCGUAUUUAUGGAACAUUCUCCAGGUUUUAUAGACGUAUAUUUCCUUCGUAACAUCGGCUAUAUCCGUGUGCGAGAACUAAAAAAACAUGAUUCCCAUGUUCCCAUGCGACACAGACAGGUUUGAGGCAGAUUGCUUUUCUGCACGCACGCACUCCCUUCCUCUCACGGGGUGUGGGGAUUUUAGAAAGUGCUUCAUGUCUGUUCACCGUCUGAUGUGAUGCCCUGUGACAGGCUGGGACCUCGUCGAGCGUCACGUGCCCCUCUGCCCACGCCGCAAGCUCCUCCCCUCCCUCCUCUCACAUCGCUGGGCAAAAAAAAAAAACCUCACUUUGCCGUCUCAGUGAUGCUCAGGCUGAGGACACAACCCUUAACGAAUGGCGCCCAUUGGCUAACCGGCGACGCGUCACCGAAAUCGGCCUGGUUCUGAGCCACAGAGACAAAGGGAUGGGGAUAAGGUCAUUGGGGGGAAUGUGAGGUGAGGAGGACCGUUAUCUGGGAUGGAAGUGGGGCUCUAUUCCCCUUUGUUUGAUUUAGUUUUAACAUCUAACCAACGCUCAUAAAGGGAUCGCACUCAGAGCAAGGUGGCCUUAUAACAGUCAGAACCAUGUGAGAUGUUCUGCAGAUGGUUGUGAAGGAAACCUUUUAGGAAGCAAUUAUUCAGGAAUUCUGAGCUGCAGGUGUGAACACCAACAUCACUGUGAGGCUCAUUCUCAGAUGUCACCUUUCAUUUUCAAAAUCUCUCAGAAGAGCAAUUAUGAGAAAUAUGCUCAACCUGUGUGUGCAUGUUGAAUCUGUUUGACUGCGGGAGUCGUUUCUGUAUGUCUCAUCUUGUAUGUUUGAUUUAUUCUUGACAGGCUGUAUAAUAAUGAAAUAUCCAUAUUAGCACUUUAGCUUUAUUUUCUGUCAAACAGAGACUGUAUGAAUCUCUUUUCAUUGAGGAUGAACUGUUUGCCCC